rnacentral:rRNA from 1 species
GAUGAACGCUGGCGGCGUGCCUAAUACAUGCAAGUCGAGCGAACAGACGAGGAGCUUGCUCCUCUGACGUUAGCGGCGGACGGGUGAGUAACACGUGGAUAACCUACCUAUAAGACUGGGAUAACUUCGGGAAACCGGAGCUAAUACCGGAUAAUAUAUUGAACCGCAUGGUUCAAUAGUGAAAGACGGUUUUGCUGUCACUUAUAGAUGGAUCCGCGCCGCAUUAGCUAGUUGGUAAGGUAACGGCUUACCAAGGCAACGAUGCGUAGCCGACCUGAGAGGGUGAUCGGCCACACUGGAACUGAGAAACGGUCCAGACUCCUACGGGAGGCAGCAGUAGGGAAUCUUCCGCAAUGGGCGAAAGCCUGACGGAGCAACGCCGCGUGAGUGAUGAAGGUCUUCGGAUCGUAAAACUCUGUUAUUAGGGAAGAACAAAUGUGUAAGUAACUAUGCACGUCUUGACGGUACCUAAUCAGAAAGCCACGGCUAACUACGG